AUAUUAAAAGGUAAAUGUUCACUAGUUCCUGCACUUCAUUCUGUUCAGUCAUUGUCAAAAAUCCAUCUUCCUGGAGAUGUGCUGACCCCUGCGAUUUCCCCAAAUGUGGGAAACUUGAUUGCACAAUUUGUGGUAAAGGGGGACUGCAUUCACACUGUCCCCUG
rnacentral:snRNA from 1 species